GGAAUAUUGGACAAUGGGCGCAAGCCUGAUCCAGCCAUGCCGCGUGCAGGAUGACGGUCCUAUGGAUUGUAAACUGCUUUUAUACGAGAAGAAACACUGCUACGUGUAGCAGCUUGACGGUAUCGUAAGAAUAAGGAUCGGCUAACUCCGUGCCAGCAGCCGCGGUAAUACGGAGGAUCCAAGCGUUAUCCGGAAUCAUUGGGUUUAAAGGGUCCGUAGGCGGUUUAAUAAGUCAGUGGUGAAAGCCCAUCGCUCAACGGUGGAACGGCCAUUGAUACUGUUAGACUUGAAUUAUUAGGAAGUAACUAGAAUAUGUAGUGUAGCGGUGAAAUGCUUAGAGAUUACAUGGAAUACCAAUUGCGAAGGCAGGUUACUACUAAUUGAUUGACGCUGAUGGACGAAAGCGUGGGUAGCGAACAGGAUUAGAUACCCCGG
rnacentral:rRNA from 1 species